rnacentral:tRNA from 1 species
GGGGGUUUAGCUCAGUGGUAGAGCGCUUGCCUAGCAAGCACAAGGCUCUGGGUUCGGUCCCCAGCUCCA